rnacentral:rRNA from 1 species
UACGUAGGCAGCAAGCGUUGUUCGGAGUUACUGGGCGUAAAGGGUGCGUAGGCGGUUGUUUAAGUUUGGUGUGAAAUCUCCCGGCUCAACUGGGAGGGUGCGCCGAAUACUGAAUGACUAGAGUGCGGGAGAGGAGAGUGGAAUUCCUGGUGUAGCGGUGAAAUGCGUAGAUAUCAGGAGGAACACCGGUGGUGUAGACGGCUCUCUGGACCGUAACUGACGCUGAGGCACGAAAGCCAGGGGAGCGAACGGG